rnacentral:rRNA from 1 species
UAAGGCUGGGCUGUAAUGGGGAGCGAAAAUUAUAGUAGCGAAGGUCAUGAUCUCACACUGCCAAGAAAAGCCUCUAGCCAGGUGAUGGUGCCCGUACCGCAAACCGACACAGGUAGGCGAGAAGAGAAUUCUAAGGCGCGCGGAAGAACUCUCGUUAAGGAACUCGGCAAAAUGACCCCGUAACUUCGGGAGAAGGGGUGCCCCGGUAGUGUGAAUAGCACGAGGGGGCCGCAGUGAAAAGGCCCAAGCGACUGUUUAGCAAAAACACAGGUCUGUGCGAAGCCGUAAGGCGAAGUAUACGGGCUGACGCCUGCCCGGUGCUGGAAGGUUAAGGGGAGCGGUUAGGAGCAAUCCGAAGCUGUGAACCGAAGCCCCAGUAAACGGCGGCCGUAACUAUAACGGUCCUAAGGUAGCGAAAUUCCUUGUCAGGUAAAUUCUGACCCGCACGAAUGGCGUAACGACUUGGGCGCUGUCUCAACGAGAGAUCCGGUGAAAUUUUAAUACCUGUGAAGAUGCAGGUUACCCGCGACAAGACGGAAAGACCCCAUGGAGCUUUACUGCAGCUUGAUAUUGAAUUUGGGUACGAUCUGUACAGGAUAGGUGGGAGCCUUUGAAGCAUGAGCGCCAGCUUGUGUGGAGGCACCGUUGGGAUACCACCCUGAUCGUAUCUAGGUUCUAACCUGGUACCGUAAUCCGGUGCGGGGACAGUGUCAGGUGGGCAGUUUGACUGGGGCGGUCGCCUCCUAAAGAGUAACGGAGGCGCCCAAAGGUUCCCUCAGAAUGGUUGGAAAUCAUUCGAAGAGUGCAAAGGCAUAAGGGAGCUUGACUGCGAGACCUACAAGUCGAGCAGGGACGAAAGUCGGGCUUAGUGAUCCGGUGGUACCGCAUGGAAGGGCCAUCGCUCAACGGAUAAAAGCUACCCUGGGGAUAACAGGCUUAUCUCCCCCAAGAGUCCACAUCGACGGGGAGGUUUGGCACCUCGAUGUCGGCUCAUCGCAUCCUGGGGCUGAAGUAGGUCCCAAGGGUUGGGCUGUUCGCCCAUUAAAGCGGUACGCGAGCUGGGUUCAGAACGUCGUGAGACAGUUCGGUCCCUAUCUGUCGUGGGCGUAGGAAAUUUGAGAGGAGCUGUCCUUAGUACGAGAGGACCGGGAUGGACGUACCGCUGGUGUACCAGUUGUUCCGCCAGGAGCACCGCUGGGUAGCUAUGUACGGAAGGGAUAAGCGCUGAAAGCAUCUAAGCGUGAAGCCCCCCUCAAGAUGAGAUUUCCCAGUAUGUAAGACCCCUUGAAGACGACGAGGUAGAUAGGCUGGGGGUGGAAGUGCAGCAAUGCAUGGAGCUGACCAGUACUAAUCGGUCGAGGGCUUAUCCAA